rnacentral:lncRNA from 1 species
GCAGUCUUAUUAGAAACAUUUCCGUACUCUUCAAGAGUAUUCUAGUCCAGCUCAUUUGCGAAAUCAGAGGAUUCAAGGUAUGAGGUCCCUUCAACGUUUUUCGUGAGGUUCAUCUCUUUAGCCUUUCCUUUUAUGGAUUCUUGAUAUAACUUGCACAAAUGUGGGGGAGUACGACAUGUACGGGACCAAUGUCCUUUACAUCCACAUUUGUAACAUUUCCACUCUUCAAGAGCGUGAGGGAGAUUGAUU